rnacentral:rRNA from 1 species
UACGGAGGGAGCUAGCGUUGUUCGGAAUUACUGGGCGUAAAGCGCGCGUAGGCGGCUUUGUAAGUUAGAGGUGAAAGCCCGGGGCUCAACCCCGGAAUUGCCUUUAAGACUGCAUCGCUAGAAUCGUGGAGAGGUGAGUGGAAUUCCGAGUGUAGAGGUGAAAUUCGUAGAUAUUCGGAAGAACACCAGUGGCGAAGGCGACUCACUGGACACGUAUUGACGCUGAGGUGCGAAAGCGUGGGGAGCAAACAGG